rnacentral:misc_RNA from 1 species
UUCCCAGAAAUUUCUCCAGUUUCUUUCUUUUCUUCCUCCUCUUCCAUUACAAAUAGCUAACUAACACUCAUCCAAAAUAUUUACAUAUCCAGCGCCUUUGGAAAAUGGAUCGGUCUGGUUCGAUUUUGAAUCUUUACCUAAUUGUAUAGAUGAUUGAAUAGAGAAGACAAAAGAAAAAUGGACGAAGAGAGAGAGAGAAUCGGAGAAGAAGAAAGAGGGAGCAAUUUGGUUGCCAGAGAGAAGGUGGAUUUGGCCAGUAAUAUGCCCUGCCCUGCCCUGCCUGUGCUUGCCCAGUCAAAAACAAUGCAAGGAGUGGUUAAUUGCUUAAUGCUUAAUCCAAGGUGUUUUUUUUUUUUUUUUUUUUUUU